rnacentral:misc_RNA from 1 species
GGUAGGUUAGUGGAAUAUGUGAACGAGGUGGGUUAGUGGAAUUGGCCUGCUUUUGAAAGCUUCCUUUCGGAGGAAGUGUUAAAUAUGUUAGCAAUCAUGCUUCCUCCCUCAAAUUUGGAAGAAAAUGAUUCUGUGUUUUGGAGUUUGACUAGGAAUGGUAGGUUUACUGUUAAGAGUGCUUAUGAAAUGAAUUCAGGGGAUGGGAUCAAUUCGAAUUUGGAUUGGAGAAUGGUUUGAGAGAGGAAAGGGCCCCAAAGAAUUCAUGCUUUUUUGUGGUUGGCUUUGAGCAGUCAUCUUCUCACAAAUGCUGAACGUCACAGAAGGCAUUUAGUUGACUCUUCUUGGUGUUCUAUUUGUAAGUGUGGAGAAAAGUCUUUGUUGCAUGCUCUCUAUGAUUGAAUUGUUGUAAAGGGUGUGUGGGUGGACUUAAUUAAAGGGGCGGGAGGUAGGUUGAAUUUCUUUAAUAUCAGUAAUUCUGUUGAUUGACUGUGUGAAAACCUUAAGGAUUAUUUUGUUAAUUGUUAUGGUAUGUCUUGGUGUUUUAUUUUUGGAGUUGCUUGUUGGUCCAUCUGGAAGAUUAGGAAUGCGUCUGUUUUUAGUGAUUCUUUUCACAGUGGCCAUAGCUUGGCUAGUCAAGUGCUUGCUUCGGUAAAAUCUUAUAAGGAGGCUUUUGAGUGUUUGCCGCGAAGUGAUAUUUAUUUGUCUAAGAGAAGAAUUAGUUGGGUUAGGUGUGAGGCUGCCAAACUAGGAUGGGUUUCUUUGAAUACUGACGGUGUUGUGUCUGGAGUGGAUGGAUUGGCUAGUGAUGGGGGAGUUAUUCGAGACUUAAAUGGUCAGUGGAUUGCUGAUUUUGUUGCGAAUUUUAGGAAAGCUUCUGUGGAAGUAGCAGAAUUUAAGGCUUUGUUGGAAGGCCUGAGAUUGGCAAGAUCAUUGGGCUUGAAAAAUGUGUUUGUGCAAAGUGAUAAUUGUUCAGCGGUUAAGAUUAUUAAUCGGGUGCAUGUUGACUCUAGUGUUUCUCUUUCAAUGUUAUUGGCUAUGAAGAAGCUUAUCAGUUUUGAUUGAGAAAUUAUUGUGAAAAGUAUUUUUCAGAGAGGCUAAUCAGGUUGCAGAUCAACUUGCUCAUUUUGUUGGAUCUUUCCAAUUGGGAGUGCAUGUUAUGCAUGAUCGUCCUGAAUCUUUGGCUCUUUGGCUGAUGCAUGAUUCUAUUGGGGUUGCUUACCCUAGAUUGGGUGCUGGGUA